AUGGGCUUUCGUGAUAUACACUGCUUUAAUUUGGCAUUGUUAGCUAAACAAGCUUGGCAUCUCCUGGAUAAUCCUGAUCCGUUAUGUGCCACAAUCCUAAGAGCCAAUUAUUUCCCACAGGGUGAUCUGAUGAGCGCAAAAUUAAAAAAGGGUUCCUCCUUUACUUGGCAAAGUAUUAUGGCGGGAGUUGACUCUCUAAGAAAUGGUUAUAUAUGGAGAGUUGGAACUGGGAAAAAAUUUAAUAUUUGGACAGAUGCUUGGAUCCCAAAUUGUGCGAAUAGGAGAUUUAUUACUCCAAGACGAGGGAUACUUCUGACGAAAGUGUCUGAUCUUAUUGACCCAACCACAAAUGAUUGGGAUGAAGAUUUGGUGAGACAAACACUAUGGCCAAUUGAUGCUCGAAGGGUCCUGGCGAUCCCUCUCCCUAUGCAUAAUAUGCAGGACUUCAUUGCCUGGAGCUGUACUAAAAACGGUUUGUUCACUGUACGAUCUGCUUAUUUGGAGGAGUGGAAUAAACAACAUGGAAAGAAACUGGAAUACACAAAUGGAAUGGGUAGAAGUAGGGUCAAUCCUAUUUGGGGUAAGUUGGAAAUUAGCUUGCCGGCGAAGGUGAAAUUUUUUAUCUGGCGCACAUUGCAUGGGACACUACUGUGUCGUAUUACCCUGGCCAAUAGUCACAUAAAAAUUUCGCCCAAUUGCCCAGCAUGUUCAAAUGGGCCAGAGGAUACAAAGCAUGUGUUGUUUCUGUGUCAGAAGGCAAAAGAAGUGUGCGAAAAUUUGGGGAUG
rnacentral:rRNA from 1 species